rnacentral:lncRNA from 1 species
CGAAUUAUCCAGAUUCAAGAAUACAAAUUCAAACCAAACUAUAGGCAUAAUAUCAUACACUCAGAUAAUUCAUAAAUGUUAUAGAGAUGCUGUGUGUGUGUGUUGUGUUCGCCAAAACUUGAUUUAAGCAAAGAAUACACAUGCUAAACUGCUCAAAACAGAAAAUUAUAGUCUACAUUGAGACUCAUGUAUACUUAUUCAACGAAGACUAUUUCAACAUAUCAAAACAAACUAAAGUUCAACAAUGGGCUUAACUUCUUU